GCCGGUGGUUUUUUGCAGGAGGGAAACACCCAGUUCCAUCCCGAACCUGGUAGUUAAGCCUCCCCGCGCCGAUGAUACUGCUCUGGACACGGAGCGGGAAACUAGGACACCGCCGGAC
rfam:Stackebrandtia nassauensis DSM 44728, complete genome.